CUGUUAACAGAGGUUUCGGCCGCUGGGAUAGUGGCAGACGGGUGAGUAAGGCGUGAGCAACAUGUCCUUCAGUGGGGGAUAACCCUCCGAAAGGAGGGCUAAUACUGCAUUAGAUCCCGCGGGGAAGCACCGCGGGAGGAAAGCCUUCGGGCGCUGAAGGAGGGGCUUGCGUCCUAUCAGGGAGAAAGUUUUUUCUCUUCCUACCAAGGUUUAGACGGGUAGCUGGAAAAAGACGACGAUCAUCCANACUUNCAUCGAGCCAAGAAGUAUNAUCNNNNNGUCAGAUCGGGAGG
rnacentral:misc_RNA from 1 species